ACAUAGCCCGGAUCGCCACGGAAAGACCGCAGCGAAGCGAGGACUUGAAGUAAGAGCCGGAAAUUCC
rnacentral:misc_RNA from 1 species